AUUGAACGCUGGCGGCAGGCUUAACACAUGCAAGUCGAACGAGUGGCGGACGGGUGAGUAAUGCUUGGGAAUCUAGCUUAUGGAGGGGGAUAACUACGGGAAACUGUAUCUAAUACCGCGUACCAUCAGAUGAGCCCAAGUGGGCUUAGGUAGUUGGUGAGGUAAAGGCUCACCAAGCCGACGAUCUCUUGCUGGUCUGAGAGGAUGACCAGCCACACUGAGACUGAGACAGGGCCCAGACGCCGACGGGAGGAAGCAGUGGGGAAUAUUGCGAAAUGGGGGCAACCUGACGAAGCCAUGCCGCGUGAAUGAAGAAGGCCUUCGGGUUGUAAAGUUCUUUCGGUAGCGAGGCGUUAACUACAGAAGAAGCACCGGCUAACUCCAUGACAGCAGCCGCGGUAAUUC
rnacentral:rRNA from 1 species